rnacentral:rRNA from 1 species
UACGUAGGGGGCAAGCGUUGUCCGGAUUUAUUGGGCGUAAAGAGCGUGUAGGCGGCCACACAGGUCUGCUGUGAAAACUCGAGGCUCAACCUCGAGCUGUCGGUGGAAACCGUGUGGCUAGAGUCCGGAAGAGGAGAGUGGAAUUCCCGGUGUAGCGGUGAAAUGCGCAGAUAUCGGGAAGAACACCCGUGGCGAAGGCGGCUCUCUGGGACGGUACUGACGCUGAGACGCGAAAGCUAGGGGAGCAAACAGG